UACGUAGGGUGCAAGCGUUGUCCGGAAUUAUUGGGCGUAAAGCGCGUGUAGGCGGCUUUGCAAGUCGGGUGUGAAAGCCCUCGGCUCAACCGAGGAAGUGCGCCCGAUACUGCCGGACUAGAGUUCGGAAGAGGCGAGUGGAAUUCCCGGUGUAGCGGUGAAAUGCGCAGAUAUCGGGAGGAACACCUAUGGCGAAGGCAGCUCGCUGGGACGUUACUGACGCUGAGACGCGAAAGCGUGGGGAGCAAACAGG
rnacentral:rRNA from 1 species